UUAUGUGUGUGUUUCAAGAAUGAGGGCCCCAUGUCUAUAUUUUGCCUAGGGCCCCAAAAUGGCUAGAUCCGCCCCUGAUUACAGAGACCUUAAUAU